CGUCAGGUCGAGGUGUAGCGAAUGAAGUGGAAAGAAAUGGGCUACAUUUUCUAAUUUAAUAGAAUAACACGAAUGACACCCUGAAACACAUGUCUGAAGGUGGAUUUAGUAGUAAAAAGCAAAUAGUGUGUCCUUUUGAAUUAGGCUCUGAGACGCGCACACACCGCCCGUCACUCUCCCCUACUAACAUAAAACCCAUAUAUUAAUAAUUUAACCAAAAACACGGGGAGGCAAGUCGUAACAUGG
rnacentral:rRNA from 1 species